GGGGAUGUACUGGUUUUGACAGCGCUGAUGUCGGACGGUAAGCAUGCCGGGCGUCGGGACCUUGCCCGUAAAUCUCAGAUCCCAAAAAUCAGUUGCCAACAACAACUACGCACUCGCUGCUUAAUCUGACUCAGUCGAUUGGCUUAAUCCGCGCCGCCUAGGUUGCGACGCCGACGAGUAUCCCUCGGAAGUUCCGCCCGUUAUCUUCCGGCCAAGGGGUAUCAUCACGAACGGGAUGCUCCGGUGGACGCCUUUAAAGCCGGGUAAGCCCCAAAGGCUAAGGGUCCGAUAGCCCGUCUUCCGGCAGUCUCUCCCCUACAAUCAAAGGAAGAAUAAGCAUGUAGAAAGCCGCCUGGUGCGACGUUUGGACGGCGGUUCGACUCCGCCCAUCUCCACA
rnacentral:tmRNA from 1 species